rnacentral:rRNA from 1 species
UACGUAGGUGACAAGCGUUGUCCGGAUUUACUGGGCGUAAAGAGCGCGCAGGCGGUCGUUCAAGUCGAGUGUGAAAGCCCCCGGCUCAACUGGGGAGGGUCAUUCGAUACUGAUCGACUCGAAGGCAGGAGAGGGAAGUGGAAUUCCCGGUGUAGUGGUGAAAUGCGUAGAUAUCGGGAGGAACGCCAGUGGCGAAGGCGACUUCCUGGCCUGUUCUUGACGCUGAGGCGCGAAAGCUAGGGGAGCAAACGGGG